rnacentral:rRNA from 1 species
AACGUAGGGGACAAGCGUUAUCCGGAUUUACUGGGCGUAAAGGGCGCGUAGGCGGCCUGCUAAGUCGGACGUGAAAUCCCUCGGCUCAACCGGGGAACUGCGUCCGAUACUGGUGGGCUCGAAUCCGGGAGAGGGAUGUGGAAUUCCAGGUGUAGCGGUGAAAUGCGUAGAUAUCUGGAGGAACACCGGUGGCGAAGGCGGCAUCCUGGACCGGUAUUGACGCUGAUGCGCGAAAGCCAGGGGAGCAAACGGG